GCCCUCUCUCUCCCGCACGAGGAUGCGAGACGCCUCGGAACUAGGGUUCCUUUUGCCGCUGCGCCCCCAUGGCACCACUUCCGGCAGCCCUCGCCACCAUCUUCCGUCCCCAAUCACCGUUGUAGUCCCCCGCUGCCGGUAAAUAGCCUUGACAGAGCUCUAGCCACUAGCUCCCUGGAGCAUGGCGCCCGCCGAUAGCCACGAAGGAGCGCUGAUGGACGUCCUGAUUGUGGGCGAGGACCCCGCCGAGGCGACUAACCUCGACACCGCGCAACACCCCCACGCCCCAGCAUCUCUGCCAUCGCCUCGCGCUGCCGUGCGCAAGGAUACCACCACCUCUCCCUGACAUCUCUGUCUCCACUCCCCCAAGGCCCUCCUCGCGGACAGCCUCCAACCCACACAAGCUCCCCUAUUCUGGCUCUGCAGCCUCCCGUGGCUGAGCAACGAAGAGAUCGAGGGGGGAAUACUCAGUUGAUUUUUUAGGGAUUGGAGAUUGAUCUUAUUUGUUUGGUUGUCCGUGGAUUCAAAGAUGAAGUAGAUAGUAAAGGCCAAGGCAACGGGCAUCAGACAUGUUAAUUUUUCUGAACUCUACUAUGGAACAUGUGUUUCUGAAUUUCUGCCAAAGUGUCAACUGUGGAUCGUACAUAGUAGUGCUCUUUUGAUAGUAGGUGGUCUGAAUUUCUGUCAAAGUGAUAACUGUGGAUAGUACAUAGUAGUGCUCUUUUGAUAGUAGGUGGUCGAAGUGUCGAAACACUGGAACAAGCACAAACUGAUCCUAGCAUCGAAGUGCUUUGUUUUUCCUUUGCAUCAAACUAUAUUUGUGUGCUCCAGAGUUCAGUGGGACAUAUGAUUGUCGUGCUCCAGCCUGUUUAAUCUCAGGUCUGAUCUCUUUUUAGCUCUUAUAUGUAUAGUACUUGGUUAUACAAACAUGGAACUGAUGGAUAUGUUGGAUUAAUGGAUGCAUAAUUAGACACCUGAUGAUGAAUAGAUGGAAUUAAUGGAUGCAUACAUAUAUGAUUAGACCCUUAAUAAGCUUAGAUGUACUAUGGUUUAUUGCAUUCUCAGUAGGUUAAUAAUUACUAUAUAUGAAAACAAAAUUGCGCGUUCUUAUUUUGUUGGAAUAUUCCCACAAGGCCACACCGGCAAGAUAAUUAGUUUCUUUUUUAUGAAACCAAUAGCUAAUCUAUAUAUUUGCAGGUGAUUCAGAUGAGCGUCUCCCGACUUUAUGCAACAAUCAAAUUUAUUUGAAGUACCAAUAUUUGCAAUAAACAUUCUUAAUCCAUAUUAGUUACGGGAUUUAUAAAUCUUUUCACCACUUCAUAUGUUUGGAGGGGAACAUAUAAGAAACUGAUGGAUCACGUAUAUGUUCUGUGGCAUAAAUACAAUAUAAUUAAUGUGAAAACCAUUGAUGUGUCUCAGGAUCACAUGAUCUGUUUAAAAUAAUAUAUAAUUUGCACUCAGC